AACGAACGCUGGCGGCGCGCCUAAUACAUGCAAGUCGAGCGAGAAGGUGUAGCAAUACACUUGUAAAGCGGCGAACGGGUGAGGAAUACAUGGGUAAUCUACCAUCGAGUGGGGAAUAACCAGCCGAAAGGUUGGCUAAUACCGCGUACGCCUCCGAAUCUUCGGGUUCGGAGGGAAAGCCACACUGUGAGUGCGGCGCUCUUUGAUGAGCUCAUGUCCUAUCAGCUUGUUGGUAGGGUAACGGCCUACCAAGGCUUUGACGGGUAGCUGGUCUGAGAGGACGAUCAGCCACACUGGCACUGCGACACGGGCCAGACUCCUACGGGAGGCAGCAGUAAGGAAUAUUGCGCAAUGGGCGAAAGCCUGACGCAGCGACGCCGCGUGGGGGAUGAAGGUCUUCGGAUUGUAAACCCCUUUCGGAGGGAAGAUGGAGCGAGCAAUCGUUCGGACGGUACCUCCAGAAGCAGCCACGGCCAACUUCGUGCCAGCA
rnacentral:rRNA from 1 species